rnacentral:rRNA from 1 species
UACGAAGGGGGCUAGCGUUGUUCGGAAUUACUGGGCGUAAAGCGCGCGCAGGCGGCCUUCCAAGUCAGUGGUGAAAGCCCGGAGCUCAACUCCGGAACUGCCAUUGAAACUGUUAGACUUGAGGACGAGAGAGGUGAGUGGAAUUCCCAGUGUAGAGGUGAAAUUCGUAGAUAUUGGGAAGAACACCGGUGGCGAAGGCGGCUCACUGGCUCGUAUCUGACGCUCAGGCGCGACAGCGUGGGGAUCAAACAGG